GACGAACGCUGGCGGCGUGCCUAAUACAUGCAAGUUGAGCGAUGAAGAUUGGUGCUUGCACCAAUUUGAAGAGCAGCGAACGGGUGAGUAACGCGUGGGGAAUCUGCCUUUGAGCGGGGGACAACAUUUGGAAACGAAUGCUAAUACCGCAUAACAACUUUAAACAUAAGUUUUAAGUUUGAAAGAUGCAAUUGCAUCACUCAAAGAUGAUCCCGCGUUGUAUUAGCUAGUUGGUGAGGUAAAGGCUCACCAAGGCGAUGAUACAUAGCCGACCUGAGAGGGUGAUCGGCCACAUUGGGACUGGGACACGGCCCAAACUCCUACGGGGGGCAGCAGUAGGGAAUCUUCGGCAAUGGACGAAAGUCUGACCGAGCAACGCCGCGUGAGUGAAGAAGGUUUUCGGAUCGUAAAACUCUGUUGGUAGAGAAGAACGUUGGUGAGAGUGGAAAGCUCAUCAAGUGACGGUAACUACCCAGAAAGGGACGGCUAACUACGUG
rnacentral:rRNA from 1 species